AAGAUAGCCCUCUCCCCAACCGCCGUUCUCUCUCUGCGCCGUAAGUAGAAAACUAACCCCAUUGCGCAUGGCCUCACUAGUUCUGAAAGUCUUGCCAGCAGCUGCCAAUCCUCCUAGCGCAAACCAGUCGGCAAGUUAGGACCGCUGAUCGUGAGAGAGCGACUGAGGACUUGGGAGUCCGUUAGGACCACAAGAGCUUCUUUCAUCAUAUUAAUGGCAUUCAUAUAAUGGACGUUACCUCAAUACCUCACUACUCCAAGAUAUUUGGGUUCCGUUAAACAGCCAACCCAGACUCGGAAAAGGAUAUGAGGUAGCCCAUCGCGGCGGGCCGCUAACCCCUCAUUCCCUCAAUAGGACGAACGACGACUCCUGCCGUAGGAGAUUACGAAUUGGGCUGUCCACACACCGACACACGUGGAAUAAUCGAUCGACUUGUGCAGGUUAAACUGAAGAAAAGAAUGAUUUGGAGUUUAAGUCACGCAGGAUUGAAAGGAUGCUGGCCAUCCUGAUCUUCCAAAAUUGUCUCUGCUUUGCGUCAACUUCACAGAUUAAACUGUACCUUCUCAGAAGGAAUUAGCAGGCAAGCCUUAUACCAUUGGAAAGAUACGGAUGUUAGCUUUCUAAAGAAUUUUACGGAAGUGGAUUCGCAUUUUUCUGGAGGAAGUUAUGAUGAUUUAAGUGAACCUAGUUCAGGAAGGCAGAUUCUGACGGAUUUUCGGAAUCUGACUUGUGAGGCCCAAGUCCGCUGCUCUUAGCACUUGAAUGGAACAAGGCUGAACGUGAUUGACAUAUUUGGAGUAAUUUCUUGCAUUGACUUUAAUAACCCUGCGUUCCUUUGGAGAGAAGAAAGCUAUUCCAAGUUGGACUAGAAAACCGAAGAAGCCCAAGUCAAGUAGGAUUGAAAAAGAGACAUAUUCUGCAGAAAACCUAGCACGUUUGGAGAGACAGAAUACACAGCAUAUUCUGCAGAGAACGAGAAGAAGAGAAGCUCUCACCAUC